rnacentral:rRNA from 1 species
CCUACGGGAGGCAGCAGUGGGGAAUCUUGGACAAUGGGGGCAACCCUGAUCCAGCGACGCCGCGUGGGUGAUGAAGGCCUUCGGGUUGUAAAGCCCUUUCGACGGGGACGAUGAUGACGGUACCCGGCGAAGAAGCACCGGCUAACUCCGUGCCAGCAGCCGCGGUAAU